rnacentral:lncRNA from 11 species
AAAGAGUAGUCCCAUUGAAACACUUAGAUUUAGCUAUGUUUGACUCUAUUCAACAAUUUAUUGAACAGCUGCACUUUAGUUGGGACUAAGCAACAAGUUACCAACCAUGGCUGGAUUUCAGCUUCCAUUGUUCCUUCUUAUUCACAGCACUGCCUGAUGUGAUUUACAGUCCAACAACCUUUAGAGAAUUACCAACUGUCUACCUCUGCACUAAGGCAUAAACAGGUGUUAUCGACCGCGUUUCAGAGGAUCGGGCCCCUUAAGGAGAGAGCCGAUCCGUUCCUUGAGAGAACGGACCCUGGCGGAGCCAAUAGGAGAAAAUGAGCCGCAAUAUCACCUGGAGCCGAAAUGAAGAAGAUCCGCCAAAGUUGAA